GCUCUCGUAUUCACCUCAAUCCAUGUGUAUUGAUAUGGAUUGAGGUGUAACUUAUAAACUAAAUUACACCCCAAUUCACUUUAAUACAUGUGGAUUGAGGUGAAUAUGAGA
rfam:Zea mays cultivar B73 chromosome 8, whole genome shotgun sequence.